UUCAAUAACAACAAAAAAUGGCGAUAAUCACGUUGUUCCAAGUGGUGUUGCUGCGUCAUUAGAAAAUAUUUGUCCAAACACGUGGAAGAAACUGCAAAACCGAGGGGGAAAGCGGGGUUCUGAGACGGCACGAUCAGUGCAUGAUUUAUAUUCGCCACAAACAGCGUGACAGAUCGCACGUACAUAGUAAGUCAAGGCGUCUAAUUUAAUCAUCCUUAAUUAUAACAUUGGUUACUGUUUUGAUCAAAUAUUUAAAACGGAUACCGCUUUUUACUGUGAACGUCCUUUUCUCACUGACUAGAUGUUUAAUUUCAGUAUACGCUAGUAUUUACAGACUGCAGUAUCCUAACUGUAUAACUUGUUAAGUGUGGACUAUGCAGUUUAGCAAUGAAACCGAAUAUAAACGGUAGUACAAAUGGACAGCUGUAUAUUUUUUUUGCUGGUGGUGCUGCUUCCCGUUUGCUUUCAUGAUUGCGCAGUUGUUAUUGUUUUUUUUUUUUUGGCAGCUGACGCUUAAAAUGUCCUGUGAUGGCAAACAUAAGAAAUUGAGUUGUUUACAUGAAGGAUCCAGCAAAGAGGGCGGAGUCCUGGGGGGGAGGAGGCUGCGGAGGGAGACUCGGACUGGGAUACUGGUUACAGAGUCCAGGGUGGUCUCGGGCCAGGUUCAGACAGAUCCGCAUUGUUGGUAUGUAUAUUCUAUCAUGCUAUAGAUAAUACGCCCCCCUGGUUUGUUCUAGAAGCCACUAAAGAAUAAAGAAAUACAGAGGCAAUUCAAUAAAAAUGAAAAAUAAAUAAAUAAAUAAAUAAAACAAAACGAUACAAACACUGUAUUUAAGUAAAUAUUCUCCAAUGUACAAAUAAGCAGUGUGUUCUAGAAAAGUAUCUGAACAGGACAGGAGUGUAGUAGUUUUUUUUUUUUUAAAUAGAAAGCUUACCAAAACUGGAUACCCAGGUUUUCACUAUCAAAACACUGCAGAGAUCUACUUAUUAUAACAGUAUAGUGUGCAGUGUGUAUUGCAUGAUUUAAAUGUGUAAUUAAUGUGCAUGUUGACUUGCAAAAUAUGUUUAACUAGUAGUUCUACUUAUUGACUGUGCCAAAUUUAGUAGACAGAACAAGAUGCAAUAACUUUUUUUAAUGUAUUCUUGUUUUUAAAACAUUUAUUUUGUUCCAAUUUUAAAGGCACAUAUGUAAAAGAGAAAAAUGAACUGUCCUGACCUGUUGUUUUUAAAAAUAGACUUUUGGUUUUUUUUCACAAUAAUUUAGAAAAAAAAGUUUUCUAAAGUAAAUCAUUACAUUUGUAUUUUUUUUUAAUUAUCACAUUUAUGAAUUAAUUAGUUGUGUGGAAUAACUGUUAGCUAUUUAAUAACUUUAAAGAUCAUUAACGUUUUAAUAGAAGUUACCGUGGUUCAGUUCAGUGUUUCUAACAUUAAAAAAAAAAAAAAAAAAUUGCAGAAAAUGUGCAAAUGUUACUUGGUUUAUACCAUUUUGUAAAUGUUUUUUCCCCAAAGAAAUGUUGUAUCUUACUAAUUUGUACUUUAAAAAUUACAAAUAAAUCCAGCCCAAUGUGUGCCUUUCACUGAACUGUGAUAAUGUGUUUUUACCAAGCUAAACUUUCAGUACAAAGGAGAGUUUGUUUAGUGUGGAGACACAUUUAUAUCAGACCCAUGAUUCUUAUUUACUGAAGAAAACAUUAAUAAACUGUAAAAAAAAAAAAAAAAAAAAAAAAAGUGAAACAAAAAGAAUCAGUUUAGUUUGUUAUCAUCCCAGUAACUACUAAACUGGUUCUGUUGUCAAAACUAAAAUAAAUAUUUGUCCCUUAGGGGUUAAUUGUACAUGUAAAUCAUAGGCAGGGACCUACUGGAAAUGCAAUAAGAUGUAUCCAGCGAACCGGGUAUCCCAAUGUGAUUAAUGGUAAGGAUGUUAAUUAGUGAGAUCCCACACAGAACAUCUGCCCAGGAAGUAGUCAGGAUGCUCAGAAUCAACUUUGUAGGUGCUUUUAGUACAUUAAGAUUUGUUUGAGUCUACAGAUAUUCCCUUUAAAAAGUCCAUUACCUUUUGUGACCACGGUUUGUAAAUAAAAGAUAUAAAGCAUGUGAUACAAAGCUGUUUUGAAAUGCAGGUUGUUUCAUUUCGAAAAUAUUUCUGUUUGAAAUGUUACUUAGGAUCCCUUAAGAUACUAAUGUCAGGUCUAACGCACUCAACUAAUGUUCAUAUUUUUCCAGUUGUUGGCAUGGCGUUCAUCCACCUACAUAUUUCCCCUGCUGUGUUUGUUUUUAGAAUACUGUCUUUGUCAUUAGCAAUUAUUUAUUGGUAAUGGCUCUUGCCAGUUUGUAUGGAAAAUUAUAAAGAUGUUGCUCUCUGCUGCCCUCUGGUGUAUUUCAUAAAUAUUAUUAUUAUUUAUUUCUUAGCAGACGCCAUUAUCCAGGGUGACUUAAAAUUGUUACAAGAUAUCACAUUAUUUUUACAUACAAUUACCCAUUUAUACAGUUGGGUUUUUAUUGGCGCAAUCUUGGUAAAGUAUCUUGCUCAAGGGUACAUCAGCAGUGCCCCCCACCUGGGAUUGAACCCACAACCCUACGGUCAGGAGUCCAGAGCUCUAACCACUACUCCACACUCACAUUAAGAUGAUAACCAGACAAAAUCUUUGUUCCAAAUUCAAUUAGACAAGUCAGUGGUACAGCAGAAGAAUUGCCACAACAUUCACAAUUCUGUACUGUAGAACUGUCAACCAAUAGGUAAUACAUUUAUUACACAAUGUAUAUUAGCCACACAGUAAGGCUGUGUUACAUAUUGAUUUUGUAUUUAGAGUGCACUAUCAUUAUUUUAUACUAAAAUGCUGUGUGUUGUUCUACUCAGAAUCGGAAUGUGUGUCAGGAGGACUGCAAUGAACGGAUCUGGUUUCUCUUGGGUUGUCACGGUGACUAUGGAACAGUGUUCCCAUUGGACAGCAGGGGCGGCUACUUGAUGUGACAGGCUGCCCUGGCUCAGUUAUCUCAGUGCUGAUGCUGUCCAUCUUAAAAGUACAGUACUGUGAUAACUGAAGGAUGGCAGCCCUCUUGGCACAGGAGACGAGACGUAAUGCGAAACCAAACUCGUCAGGUGCUGAGCAGCUAAAGGAAAUGAAAGCAAACCGUUUUGUAAAUCAUGUUUUUAUUUUAUUAAACAUAUCACUGUAAUUUUUGUAUUGUAACUUUUAUUACUAAUGUAUUUUGUUUGGUAGGCAAUUACUGUACUUUCAUCUGCUUCCAUUCCUAACUCCAAAUAAUCAUUGUAAUGCACUGAAAUGCAUAUUUUAUACAUCGGAACUCCUGGUAAAUCUCACAUUAUCCCGUUUUAAUGGACUUUAUUAUGAAGUGCAUAUUAGAUUAACCACUGAACUAAGGAGAACCAAACACUCACAUUCCCACUACAUGUCAUAAUAAUGCAGCUCUUUUAUUAUUUAUAAAAUCAGAAAGUGAUCAUAUAACCACAAUUUGUGCAAUUAUGCUUGUUUCACAUGUCCCUUUGACUUGUAUUAUACUAUUAUUUAACCUUUCAUUGUAUGUCCCUUAAACUGACUGUUUAAAUAAACAUUUCGAUGCAGAUCAUAGGUA